UACAGAGGGUGCGAGCGUUGUCCGGAUUUACUGGGCGUAAAGGGCUUGUAGGCGGUCCGUUAAGUCCGAUGUGAAAUCUCCCGGCUCAACUGGGAGAGGUCAUUGGAUACUGGCGGACUAGAGGGGGGUAGAGGAAAGCAGAAUUCCUGGUGUAGCGGUGAAAUGCGUAGAUAUCAGGAGGAAUACCAGUGGCGAAGGCGGCUUUCUGGGCCUACCCUGACGCUGAGGAGCGAAAGCGUGGGGAGCAAACCGG
rnacentral:rRNA from 1 species